CUUCCCCUUCCUAGAUCUAUGAAAGAUGACGUCUUUUUCGUGGACGGAGGAGGAUGUGCUACGGUGCUGUGGUAGCAAGCCUUUCGCCAAGGAGCUCGCCUCCGCCUCGCGAGGAAGCCUCGAAAGGUAGUAUUGAGCCUUGAUCUACUGAGGAAGCCUCGAAAGGUUAACACGGUCAGAGGGGGAGAGGAUUCUUCCCCUAACUUUUCUUCCGCCCUGGUGAGUGGGUCGGGCGGGGAAGGGGAAAACUUGAUUGGUGAUGAAGAGGAGCCACUGAUUCAGUUGGUGGACUGCCGUAUAUGCCAAGAGGAGGAUCACGUGGAGAACUUGGAGGUCCCUUGCCCUUGCAAUGGCAGUCUGAAGUAUGCUCAUAGGGAAUGUAUCCAACGUUGGUGCAAUGAGAAGGGUGAUACAACCUGUGAAAUCUAUCAUGAGGCUCUUCAUAACAUUGCUGUUGCAGAAUACUUUUGAGAUGGUUGCACUGAUCCUAGGAAUCUCCUUGAUGCAUUAAACAAGGUUAAAGAGCAGAGUGAAGAGCUUGCGCAUACUUUUGUGGAUCAGAUUGACUCUGAGAAUAGCUGCCUAGGCUAUAUGGUUUUAGGGUCUAAAGCUAAUAGUGCUUCAAUUCAUCAAUGUGCUGCUAUAAAUAGCAGUAGGGUUGUUCAUGCCCAAGAGUUUGAUGUUUCAGUAACAAUGCUGAAUAUUGUAUGUAGUUCAACGCAUUUUGUCAAAAAUUUUCUUUCCAUAAUUAGUGAAUGAGUUAAUAAAUUGCUCUCUUCUUAGUAUUUUUGUUAAUUUGGUUCUUCACUGGCAAUCAUUCUCUACCAUAUCCAUGAGUAUGCACAGUCAUUAUCUGUUCUCAAAAAGCUGUUCCAGAAUAUCGAGCCAAUUGAAGAGCAGCAAAUAGCUCUCCGUGUAUGCCUUCUUCUACUGGAUGUUGCAUUAGCUUGUGAAGAUAUUUUACAAGUCUCAUUUACAAAUCUCAAGUACUCCAGAGCUGAAAUUGAUGAAGUGCGAUUCGAGUGGGCUGAAUGCAUGCUAUAUUACAUUUGAGUAAGGAAAGAUAUUUGAUUUUUGAAAACUUUGGAUGAUGCAUAUAUUUGCAUGGAAUGUAAAUUACGGAUGCUACCUUGAUGUGUACAAUAUCUAUUACCUUUUGAUGUUGUAAA